rnacentral:rRNA from 1 species
GAUGAACGCUAGCGGCAGGCUUAACACAUGCAAGUCGAGGGGUAUAGUUCUUCGGAGCUAGAGACCGGCGCACGGGUGCGUAACGCGUAUGCAAUCUACCUUUUACAGAGGGAUAGCCCAGAGAAAUUUGGAUUAAUACCUCAUAGUAUGUGAGAAUCGCAUGGUUUUCACAUUAAAGUUCCAACGGUAAAAGAUGAGCAUGCGUCCCAUUAGCUAGAUGGUAAGGUAACGGCUUACCAUGGCGACGAUAGGUAGGGGGCCUGAGAGGGUGGUCCCCCCACACUGGUACUGAGACACGGACCAGACUCCUACGGGAGGCAGCAGUGAGGAAUAUUGGUCAAUGGGCGCAAGCCUGAACCAGCCAUGCCGCGUGCAGGAGAAUGCCCUAUGGGUUGUAAACUGCUUUUAUUGGGAAUAAACCUCUUUACGUGUAGANAGCUGAAGGUACCAAAUGAAUAAGCACCGGCUAACUCCGUG